ACCACCCUGAGUGUCAGACCUGGUGAGAAGCGUUGCGGGAAGGAUGUUGGUGCGGCCUGGACCACCCCACAGAGAGGGAGGCUGCGGCCCGGAGCCAGCACAGCAAGUGGCAGCAGUGCUUGCUGUCCAGGCAGAGGGGCUCCUGCCAGGAUGUAUGAGCACGAAGAAGCACUUUGAUUUCAUCGUGAGCGCUUGUCUACUGCUCACAACCGCCCCACGAGCUUCUCGGAGCCUCAGUUUCCUCCUCUGUGAAGGGAAGAUCCACACGGCUGACCUAGGACAGCUGAGCAGGGCUUGGGCUGGACGCUGGAGCACGCUUCUCGGGGAAUUUUUUGGCUUCCACGUUGCAGAAUGUUCUUGCCCCGUUGGCCACAGGCCGCCCUGCCCCCCCGGCCGGCGGCUGCCCAGCCAAGGACGUGCCCGGACCGCAGCCCCCGGGGCCCCCGCCGCGCCUCCUGGCUUUGCUGCGGGCGGAGCCGAACCUGCCAGGGCCCAGCAGGACCCGCGGAUCUCGCCCAAUGCGCCUCCAGCCGCUCGGGGCGGACCCGGGGCCGCGGCAGCAGGAACGUGCAGUGCGGCCCAACGUGACCGGGGCGGGCGACGGGGGGACUCCCGAGGGCCAGGUCGGGUCCCCCCUCGGCCUUCAGAAAGACAGGUCCAGCUCUCUGCUCCUGUACCUCCCGCCCCUCCGCUCGUGGCCGCGGGAUGA
rnacentral:lncRNA from 1 species